rnacentral:rRNA from 1 species
GUGGGGAAUAUUGGACAAUGGGGGGAACCCUGAUCCAGCCAUGCCGCGUGUGUGAAGAAGGCCUUUUGGUUGUAAAGCACUUUAAGCGAGGAGGAGGCUACCGAGAUUAAUACUCUUGGAUAGUGGACGUUACUCGCAGAAUAAGCACCGGCUAACUCUGUGCCAGCAGCCGCGGUAAUACAGAGGGUGCAAGCGUUAAUCGGAUUUACUGGGCGUAAAGCGCGCGUAGGUGGCCAAUUAAGUCAAAUGUGAAAUCCCCGAGCUUAACUUGGGAAUUGCAUUCUAUACUGGUUGGCUAGAGUAUGGGAGAGGAUGGUAGAAUUCCAGGUGUAGCGGUGAAAUGCGUAGAGAUCUGGAGGAAUACCGAUGGCGAAGGCAGCCAUCUGGCCUAAUACUGACACUGAGGUGCGAAAGCAUGGGGAGCAAACAGGAUUAGAUACCCCUGUAGUCC